rnacentral:rRNA from 1 species
AACUAACGCUGGCGGCGUGCCUAACACAUGCAAGUCGUACGAGAAAGCCGGCUUCGGCUGGUGAGUAAAGUGGCGCACGGGUGAGUAACGCGUGGAUAAUCUGCCCUUAAGUGUGGAAUAACGUACCGAAAGGUGCGCUAAUACCGCAUAAUGCCUGGCAACACAAGUUGUCCGGCCAAAGAAGGCCUCUGUUUACAAGCUUUCGCUUCAGGAUGAGUCCGCGUACCAUUAGCUUGUUGUGGGGUAAUGGCCUACCAAGGCUGCGAUGGUUAGCUGGUCUGAGAGGAUGAUCAGCCAACUGGAACUGAGACACGGUCCAGACUCCUACGGGAGGCAGCAGUGAGGAAUAUUGCGCAAUGGGGGCAACCCUGACGCAGCAACGCCGCGUGAGUGAGGAAGGUUUUCGGACUGUAAAGCUCUGUCGAGCGGAAGAAGUGUACCAUGGCUAAUAUCCAUGAUAUUUGACGGUACCGCUAGAGG